UACAGAGGGUGCAAGCGUUGUUCGGAAUUAUUGGGGCGUAAAGCGCGUGUAGGCGGCUUUGCAAGUCGGGGUGUGAAAGCCCCUCAGCUCAACUGAGGAAGUGCGCCCGAAACUGCAGAGCUUGAGUGCCGGAGAGGGUGGCGGAAUUCCCCCAAGUAGAGGUGAAAUUCGUAGAUAUGGGGGAGGAACACCGGUGGCGAAG
rnacentral:rRNA from 1 species